rnacentral:rRNA from 1 species
GCAAGUCGAGCGAACAGAAGGGAGCUUGCUCCCGGAUGUUAGCGGCGGACGGGUGAGUAACACGUGGGUAACCUGCCUGUAAGACUGGGAUAACUCCGGGAAACCGGAGCUAAUACCGGAUAGUUCCUUGAACCGCAUGGUUCAAGGAUGAAAGACGGUUUCGGCUGUCACUUACAGAUGGACCCGCGGCGCAUUAGCUAGUUGGUGGGGUAAUGGCUCACCAAGGCGACGAUGCGUAGCCGACCUGAGAGGGUGAUCGGCCACACUGGGACUGAGACACGGCCCAGACUCCUACGGGAGGCAGCAGUAGGGAAUCUUCCGCAAUGGACGAAAGUCUGACGGAGCAACGCCGCGUGAGUGAUGAAGGUUUUCGGAUCGUAAAGCUCUGUUGUUAGGGAAGAACAAGUGCGAGAGUAACUGCUCGCACCUUGACGGUACCUAACCAGAAAGCCACGGCUAACUACGUGCCAGCAGCCGCGGUAAUACGUAGGUGGCAAGCGUUGUCCGGAAUUAUUGGGCGUAAAGGGCUCGCAGGCGGUUUCUUAAGUCUGAUGUGAAAGCCCCCGGCUCAACCGGGGAGGGUCAUUGGAAACUGGGAAACUUGAGUGCAGAAGAGGAGAGUGGAAUUCCACGUGUAGCGGUGAAAUGCGUAGAGAUGUGGAGGAACACCAGUGGCGAAGGCGACUCUCUGGUCUGUAACUGACGCUGAGGAGCGAAAGCGUGGGGAGCGAACAGGAUUAGAUACCCUGGUAGUCCACGCCGUAAACGAUGAGUGCUAAGUGUUAGGGGGUUUCCGCCCCUUAGUGCUGCAGCUAACGCAUUAAGCACUCCGCCUGGGGAGUACGGUCGCAAGACUGAAACUCAAAGGAAUUGACGGGGGCCCGCACAAGCGGUGGAGCAUGUGGUUUAAUUCGAAGCAACGCGAAGAACCUUACCAGGUCUUGACAUCCUCUGACAACCCUAGAGAUAGGGCUUUCCCUUCGGGGACAGAGUGACAGGUGGUGCAUGGUUGUCGUCAGCUCGUGUCGUGAGAUGUUGGGUUAAGUCCCGCAACGAGCGCAACCCUUGAUCUUAGUUGCCAGCAUUUAGUUGGGCACUCUAAGGUGACUGCCGGUGACAAACCGG